rnacentral:rRNA from 1 species
GGAAGAGAGACCAACAGGGAUUCCCUCAGUAAUGGCGAAUGAAGCGGGAAUAGCUCAAAUUUGAAAUCUCCCCGGAGAAUUGUAGUUUGUGGGGGCACAUUUGACGGCGACCCAGGCCCAAGUCCUCUGGAACGAGGCAUCAGUGAGGGUGACAAUCCCGUCCACGGCCUGGCAAUCGUCGCGCACAAAUGGCCUUCAAAGAGUCGGGUUGCUUGGGAGUGCAGCCCAAAGUGGGUGGUAUAUUCCAUCUAAGGCUAAAUAUUGGCAAGAGACCGAUAGCAAACAAGUACCGUGAGGGAAAGAUGAAAAGAACUUUGAAAAGAGAGUUAAAGUGUGAAAUUGCUAAAAGGGAAACGUUUGGAGCCAGUGUUGGCAAGGGCAAAUCAGCCGUCUGGGCGACUAGGCGGUGCACUUUGCUCUUGGCAGGUCAGCAUCAGUUGCGCGGGGGUCAGAACGGCGCGGGAAUGUGCCUACCCCUCGGGGUAGAGUUAUAGCCCGCGCUUGUGGCCUUGGCGCGACUGAGGAAUGCAGUGCUCAUCAGGGCGGCUGGGGGUUGUCGAGAAGACGUUGUGUAGGGAGCAUGCUGCCUACCGAUUGCCAUCGGCACCCUUCAGCGCGGCCACUCAAGCACUCAGGAUGCUGACCAAAUGGCUUCAAGCGACCCGUCUUGAAACACGGACCAAGGAAGGGC